AUGUACAAAUAUAAGAAACUCUUGCUACAGAAGAGUUUUAAUUUUCUCUUUGUUUAUAAUACCUCUUCUACUCUCUAUAUUUUUUUUCUAGCUCAACUCACUUAGACACACAAUACCCCAUUUGAUCAUUGAGUGAUGAUAUUUAGAGCAAUGCAUUUCAUGGAAAGAGCUCAAAGGGCACCAAAGGGCUUAUUUCAAAUGAAAGAUUUCAUGUUUCAAGGUUUCCGGGUUUCACCAUUGUAUCACUGAGAUGGUUCAACACAACUUUAUGCACCAACGGAGUUUAGCAGUUCGAAGUACUUUUUCGGCUGUAGGCUGUACUCGAUUUCACCACUUGGUCUACAACAGGUGGUAUGGAAAUCCUAUUCAAUCUGAUCAUUGACAGGCCUCUUGGUAUCACUUUGGUUGAAAGUGGAGGUCAUGAGUGCAGACUCCCAGCCAGCCCCAAGGCCAAAACUCGAAGCAGUGAUCGAAAUCAAAGGAUCAGCAGACACCGAUGCAAUCCCAUUAGUAAUAGUCUGUUGUUGGAAUUGGUGUUGGGCAGUGAAUGCCUCUUCAUUGAUCAAUGAAUUCAAGAAGGAAGAGAACACAUCAUCAGAGCCGUAAUUUAUGUCAUCUUCAUCUUCAGGGCUAAGUCCAUUGUUGCUGCUUCUCAAUCCAAUUCCAGCUGAACCAUCUGAGUUUGGCAAAG